UACACACGCGCCCACUCGCGUGUAGUGGCCAACGCAGCCCCGUACAGAAUCACGCAAGCGCACUUAGCCACUGCCGUCGCUCGAGGUGCCCUUUCCGCCCCCUCCCCUCUUGUGUGUGGAGGCAAAGCGACCAUGGUGUGCCGCACGCGCUCGCCUUGGGUCGACACGCACAAGCUCCCCAAGCUUGCGCCACUUUCCUCGCCGCCAUGUCGUGGGAGCCUGACAAAAAGCACCGCAGUCAAUGGAGUCUUACCGCCGACCCGCGGAUGCUGAGCUCAGCGGCAGCGGUGACACAGUCGUCGUACCUGCACGCGCUCGGUGCCACACAGGAACUGCAGCCGGAGUCGCAGCAUCUGCCGAAAGCUCGUAACACGGUCGCCUCUGGCGCAUCAAUCAACCCAGCCAUGGCGGCUGUGGCGCAGCAGAAAGCUCGGUACGCGCGUUGCCCGUAUGUCCCUCCACCUGCCUUGCGCCGUAGUCGCCUCCAUCUGGGCCCCACGGCGGGCACCAGCGGCGCGCUUGGCGGAACAAAGCACAUCGACGAGGGUCGUCGCGCCCUCACGCAGCCUGCAACGUGGUCUCUGCCGUUGCAGUCUGAUUCCGCACAGCGCCGAGUGCCUGCAGGCGCGGGGCCCACGCCGCGUUCGGCGGUCAAUGGGGAUACCACAUUUCACCCCCUUCCGCCACUGCGGCCGUCACUCCAUCCAAUCCCUCCGCCACCGACUGAGUGGUGUCAGGCCCUCGUUGCGCUUCAAGAGCGUCAGCUGCUCUGCUGGCAGCAACUUAUAGAAGCCCAGCAGCUGAUGACUCACCACGUUGGGCGGCUGCAGGAAGAGUUGCAGUAUGUGCGCGAAGUCCUGAAGCACGGACUUGGCAAGCACUCCACGACGGAGGCGGUCAUCGCGAGCGCAGCAGAUCCACGCAAGCGCUCCCGCUCGGAAGGCCACGACAGUUUCAAAGCUGCAACAGUGACCAAAUCUGCAGCAGCAGUGCCGACUGCCAGCGCCGCAACCUCGCAGCGGAACAUGUCAGUGCACGUGGUUCGUUUGCUAGGAGAGAGCACCACCUCUACGUCUGCAGUCGUGCAGGACGCGGUAGUCUGUCGAGAUGUCGCCCGGCCGGCAGAAGUCGCGCAAAGGCUCCCUUCGAGACCAUCCGCAGAGCCGAAGGAGGGCAAUGGCGGUGGCGGCGGUGCUGCACACUCACAAGGCACCGCUGACGCUGCCGACAGCGAGGCAGACAUCUUCAUGCUCUGACAAGGGCUGCCCACCCUCACAAGAGACAUACACGGGUGAUGUUCACGCACUUCCACACACUGGCCUUAACGCGUCACGGAAACGGUGUUGUGUGUGUGUGUGUGUACGUGCGUGUGCGACAUGAUACACCUCUCUGCUACCCCAACAGCCGCUCAUAAUGAAGAGCAAGCACAGACACGCAGACAGAGAAACUACUGCCCUCGCUGUCUCGCUACAGAGGCGCACGCGCGUUGGUCAGACGGCAUUACAUGACCUGGCGCUGCCUAAGCAUGGGCGGAGAAGCGUAUCACGUUGCUUCCGGAUCUUCCAUGCGCCGAGCAUAUGACCCUUUCGCUGCCUUUGCCGUACUGCGCGGCUUUGCGUGGUCUCUCUUCAUGUGCGUGUGUGUGUGUGUGUCACCGUGCCGCACACGCAUAUAUCGAAGUUACAAGGUCGCUCCUACGCUCUUUUUGGCACGCCCCCGCCCAACUUCGCCCACACAACCCUCUGCCCCACGUGCGCACACAUGCACGCAG
rnacentral:misc_RNA from 1 species